GAUGAACGCUGGCGGCGUGCCUAAUACAUGCAAGUCGAGCGAACAGACGAGGAGCUUGCUCCUCUGACGUUAGCGGCGGACGGGUGAGUAACACGUGGAUAACCUACCUAUAAGACUGGGAUAACUUCGGGAAACCGGAGCUAAUACCGGAUAAUAUAUUGAACCGCAUGGUUCAAUAGUGAAAGACGGUUUUGCUGUCACUUAUAGAUGGAUCCGCGCCGCAUUAGCUAGUUGGUAAGGUAACGGCUUACCCGGGCAACGAUCCGUAGCCGACCUGAGAGGGUGAUCGGCCACACUGGAACUGAGACACGGUCCAGACUCCUACGGGAGGCAGCAGUAGGGAAUCUUCCGCAAAGGGCGAAAGCCUGACGGAGCAACGCCGCGUGAGUGAUGAAGGUCUUCGGAUCGUAAAACUCUGUUAUUAGGGAAGAACAAAUGUGUAAGUAACUAUGCACGUCUUGACGGUACCUAAUCAGAAAGCCACGGCUAACUACGUG
rnacentral:rRNA from 1 species